rnacentral:rRNA from 1 species
ACUCCUACGGGAGGCAGCAGUGGGGAAUAUUGCACAAUGGGGGAAACCCUGAUGCAGCCAUGCCGCGUGUGUGAAGAAGGCCUUCGGUUGUAAAGCACUUUCAGUAGGGAGGAAGGUAGUGUAGUUAACACCUGCAUUAUUUGACGUUACCUACAGAAGAAGCACCGGCUAACUCCGUGCCAGCAGCCGCGGUAAUACGGAGGGGUGCGAGCGUUAAUCGGAAUUACUGGGCGUAAAGCGCAUGCAGGCGGCCUGUUAAGUCAGAUGUGAAAGCCCGGGGGCUUAACCUCGGAAUUGCAUUUGAAACUGGCAGGCUAGAGUCUUGUAGAGGGGGUAGAAUUUCAGGUGUAGCGGUGAAAUGCGUAGAGAUCUGAAGGAAUACCAGUGGCGAAGGCGGCCCCCUGGACAAAGACUGACGCUCAGAUGCGAAAGCGUGGGAGCAAACAGGAUUAGAUACCCUGGUAGCGACAGAG